rnacentral:misc_RNA from 1 species
AGCAGCCGCGGUAAUUCCAGCUCCAAUAGCGUAUAUUAAAGUUGUUGCAGUUAAAAAGCUCGUAGUUGAAUUUCGGGAUCAAUAUGUUGGUCGUGCCUCGGUACGUACUAGCUUAUUGGUUUCUCCUUUCUGAAGAACCAUGAUGUCAUUUAUUUGGUGUCGUGGGGAAUCAGGACUGUUACUUUGAAAAAUUAGAGUGUUUAAAGCAGGCUCACGCUUGAAUACAUUAGCAUGGAAUAAUGAAAUAGGACGUUUGAUUCUAUUUUGUUGGUUUCUAGGAUCGAUGUAAUGAUUAAUAGGGAUAGUUGGGGGCAUUAGUAUUCAAUUGUCAGAGGUGAAAUUCUUGGAUUUAUUGAAGACUAACUACUGCGAAAGCAUUUGCCAAGGAUGUUUUCAUUAAUCAAGAACGAAAGUUAGGGGAUCGAAGACGAUCAGAUACCGUCGUAGUCUUAACCAUAAACUAUGCCGACUAGGGAUCGGAUGAUGUUAAUUUUUAAUGACUCAUUCGCGUACCG